rnacentral:lncRNA from 11 species
GUUGAGGAGACAGGCUGUCUUAGUCCAAAGGAAAGCCCAGGGAGAGGGAGAGAAGGGGAAAAACAGCACACGCAAAGGCUGGGUUAACCAAGAUGCUAAGAACUCUGCAGAGGACAUAGUGGUGUAAGUAAAACACACAAGACACAACACUAUUGCCAGUCUUGAAUGACCUCUGGCUUGUGCAUCUAAAUUGUAGAAUUAAUGCAGUUUGAUCCCACUUGAACUGCCAAG